UCCACCGUGAGGUGGAAUCUGAAGGAAGCUGGCGAUAAAAUCCUGUACUAAGGAACACGAAUCAUAAUCGCAUGGUUCAACAAACAAUU
rfam:Bacillus selenitireducens MLS10, complete genome.